AGACCUGGGAGUGGAGAACACUGCUGAGGUAGUGGACAGAUGACCCACGAAGUCCCCAAGACUCGAGUCUGAUGAAGAGAACAAAACAUCCCGGCAUUAUUUUUUCAAGACCCAGUGUGCUGGCACAAAUCUGUAAACUGGAUCAGACAGAAGGCAAUUUCUGGAAGAGAGAAAUAAGCAUCUGGACAAUUUUUAUAAACACCCCCUUGGCACCAGGAUGGUGUGCUUGCUGCUGACGUGUUUUGGCCAGUACAUGACCAGUCUAAAGAGAAGCAUUCUGGUAUCCAGGCCGCUUCUGUCUGUACGGGGACCUUUCCUGUCUCCAGCGAUCUGAGGGGAAGCAAGACAUUGGAAUCCAUUCCUCAGCUAAGGCCUUCCUGUUCUUAUAGGUCAAAAUAAAAGGGACUCAACCCCCUGGUGUCAUGGCCUCUGAUGGCCCAAAGCAUGUUUUUUGUGAUUUCUGUGGUCCUUCGAGGGCCAUCUUCUUCAUGGUCCUUUUGGUUCUAGUUUCUGCAUCCAAAAAUCAAA